rnacentral:lncRNA from 1 species
GCAUCCAUAAUUUCCACUAAUCUGUCCUCCACCUCGCUUAUUUUUUCUUCUACCUCCUGUAUUAUGGUGUUAGAUGCGUCUAGUGAGUUUUUUAUUUCAUUUAUUGUAUUUUGCAUCUCUUCUUAUUUAAGUUUUAUAUCUUGUAUCUCUUUGCUCAGUGUUUCCUGUAAGUUAUCCAUCUUUGCCUCCAGUUUAUUUCCAGUGUCUUGCAUCAUCUUCAGCAUCAACAGUCUAAAGUCUUUCUCCUGGAAGCUGAGAAUCUCCUCAUUGCUUAGCUGAUUUUCUGGGAUUUUUCCUUUCUCCCUCAUCUGAUUUAUAGUUCUCUAUCUUUUCAUUUUUGCAGGUUUUUGGUGUGGUGACCUUUUUACAGAUAAUAGAGUUGUAGCCUCUCUUACUUAUGGUGUCUGCCUCCCUUGUAGCUGAAGUGGGUAUGGGGGCUUGCUGUAGGCUUCCUGAUGGGAGGGGCUGAAGCCUGCCCACUGUAGAUAGAGCUGAUUCCUAUCCCUCUGGUGGGUGGGGCUUAGUCUCUGGAUGGUAUUGGAGGCAGCUGUGUGCCUGAGGGUUCUUUAGGUAGCUUGUUUACUGAUGGGUGGAGCUGUGAUCCCACCUGGAUUGUUGUCUGGCCUGGGGCUUCUCACUGCCAAUGUGUGGGGCCAGAUUUUCUCAAAAUUGCCACCUCCAGAGAAACAUGUGCUGAUGAAGAUUCCUGAGAGCUUUGCUUUCAAUGUCCUUCCCUCACAACAAGCCACAUUCAUCCCUGCCUUCCCAGGAUGUCCUCCAAGAACUGCAGUCAGGUUUGACCCAGAUUCCUAUGGAGACUUUGCUUUGCCCUGGGACCCAGUGCACGUGAAUGUCCACGUGUGCCUUUUAAUAAUGGGGUCUCCGUUUCCCCCAGUCCCAUGGAUCUCCUGUGCACAAGCCCCACUGGCCUUCAAUGCUAGAUGCUCCAGGGGCUCUUUCUCCCAGUGCUGGAUUCCCCACACAUGAGAGUUUGAUGUGGGGCUCAGAACUCUCACUCCUGUAGGUGAGUCCCUGUGAAUCAGUUAGUUUUCCAGUUUGUGGGGCUUCCCACCCAGAAGGUAAGGGGUUGUUUAUAUCAUGUAAUCACCCCUCCUACCUCUUGAUGUGGCCUCCUUUUUUUCUUCUGGAGUAGGAUAUCUUUUUGAAGGUUUUUGGUCCAUUUGGGUGGAGACUGCUCAGCCUUUAGUUGUGAAUUUUGUUGUUUUUAGGAGAGAAGUUGAGCUCCAGUCCUUCUAUUCUGCCAUCUUCAGUGUAACUUUUCUAUACUUUCUUGUGUGAAUGAGUUAAUGCUGUCUAUUGCUUAAGCCCCCAAACCCACAAACAAGAUCAUAUAAUGAAAUCAAAUUCUACCAAGAAUCAAAUACAGUGGAGACAAUUUCUUAGAGUAGUAGUUAUGUGGUAUAAAUAAAAAAACAAUAUCACUUUUUUAGAAAGACUGCUUAUUUUCACUUUAUAAAAUAGAGACAGAGUCAAAUCAGAAGUUAUCCAGAGAGGUCUGUGGUUUCCUCUCCUUUUCUUCUCUUUGAUUUGGUCUGUUGGCUUUCAAACCUGUUAGUUCUGUUCUCCCUUUAUUAGCUGUCACUCCCACCUCAUUUAAAAAUAACUGUAAUUCAUGCUAGUUCACAUGCUAUGUUCUCUGUAGCUAGAAACAUGUAGGAAAUAUGCAUACAUUCAGGAAUGUAUGUAUGGUGGAGAAGACAGUCCAAAUUCCCACCAUCAGCAGGACUCUCACCUGUCUUUAGAGAAUUGCAGUGUUGUUCACUAUUCACCUAGUGGAGACUCAUUUCCUUCUUGUUUAGUUUCAUUAAAGCUUUGGACAAUGCAUAAAACAAGUGACAGAAGAGUGACUACCCCACCUAUGUAAGUCUUCAGCCUUCACUGCAGGAUCCAGUGGACUCAGCUCUCCAGGCAUAUUGGGGUCACUGUAGAGCCCACAAGCACAUCUGACCUCUCCCGUGGCCUCUGCAUAUACUUCCACCUGCAGAGGCUCCUCCUUUCUUCCCUACCCAGACUCUUGCCUCUCUUUCAGAAAUUGGGACCAUCGGCUUUUCAGGAAGCUAUUGCUGGCAGCUCCAGAAGUCCCCACUACUCAUCCCAAACUCAAUAUUCAUCUCCCUGAAUGAUGGGUAAUUGCAUGGUUUCCUGUCUCUAUCACCACUAAACCACAGGUUCUCUGAGGGCAGAGCUAUGUUGCUCAUGGCUGUAGCCUCAGUACCUAACAUAGCACCUAGAGUAUAGAACGUUGAAUAUAAAGCCUUGAAAAAAGUAAGCAAACAAUGAUAUGAAAUAAAAGUAAGACGGAUUAUCACUUCCUAAGUCCUGCUCAGCUAGAGGCUCUCCAUGAAUGCUAUCCUAGUCCUCACGACAACCUUCCAUUUAACAGAUGAAGACACUGAGAUAAAGUCCAUAUACACAUCCAAGAAGAUUCCAGAACUACAGUUAAAGUCUAGACUUCUUUAUCUCCAAAGACUCCAAACAUUACAAAGUAAGGAGGCUGCCACAGCAGAAUGGUAGGGAUGAGCUGUUCUGGUCUCAAAGGGGGCCCUUUGGAGCAGCAUAGUGUAGGGAGGGCCAGUGGGGGCCCUGCGGGAAGUGGUCCAUCAACAUCCUUAAUGGGUGACUUCUGAAAACAUUUAUUGGUCCUGGAAGCAGAAAGGGCACAGGAAGAGGCCAGGGCCCUCCAACGACCCACAUGGUGACUGUGGUCCAUCUUGGUGACUGGGCACUACCUACUGACUGAAGAAGCCUGAUCCCAUUUAGAGGCUAUCAGCCAGGUCUGCAAUGGAAAAGGAAAAAUAAAUCUCGACUAAAAUCUAGAGCCUAGACUAAAAUUAUUUCAGAUUUGAAACCCUGUACAAGGACCUUAAUUAUCAGACUAAUCUAACUCAAAUUCAGAUUAUGGCUUAUGAUUUUGCAGCCUAUUUAAAUGAAUUCAACCAUAGGAUGUUACAAGUAUACUUGGUUAGAGGUUUCUGGUACAAUUAUAAGUUGUGAAAUGAUUAUGAAUGUAGGCAUUUACGUUUAUAAUUAUGUCUCAUAAUUAAUCUUCCUAAGUAAUACUUUAGGUUCACACCUCCAUUUGCAGUUUUCUAAAUGAACGACUUCACACUAAAGACUGCAAAAUACCAAGGCAGGCCUUGAGUCGCUAGAAUUAAUAAUAUUCCACUUAUAAAUUCUGAAAUGCCUAGGUUAAAGUAAAAUUCACAAAAAAUUAAGUCAUAUUUAGCAGAUUAAACCUUGCACGGGAAAAUCAGACAUCACCAGUAAACACAAUUUUUAUAAUUAAAGUGUCUUACCUUCUAGAAUGUUAAUACUCUUUAAGAAAGGAAAUCUCCUGUGCCACUACAAUGUUAAGGAAAUGUAUUGGAAGCCCAGGCCUAUUUAACUCUGAAUUUUAUCAUAUUUAGUACAAUUUAAGUUUAUGUGGCCAAUGAAUACCCAAUAUUUUAUUGAGCUCCCACUCUGAGUUGGGGCUUUGACACACACUUGUCUGAUACAGGUUACAAUUAAGGUAAUUGUAGGCCAAUGGAUAGCUUGAGAGGCUUAUAAGGCUUCACACAGAAAUGCUCAAAAGAAUCUGUUUAGUUAAUGAAGGUUAUUACAUAAAAUGCUGCACCUGCUGCCAUAUGCCAAUAUGACAUGCUAAAUAUUUUAGGAACAACUUCCAUCUUAAGUUUUGGGAUGAUUGUAUAAGUAAUUAAAAUGCCAUUCCCCCCCCAUUCUUUCUGCCAAUGUGAAUAUCUGUUAAUUAGGAAACAACAGCAAAUAUUUUACUAUUUGGGUGUGGGCAAGAACAGACUGGUGCCCACAGAAGGACUGCAAAGUACGGGUGGCAACAGAACUGAUGCAAAUUCCUGCAUCUAGGGUCCUGUCUAUCAAGGAAGAAAUCAUUACUCAGUAAGAGGUGACAUGACAACUAAAUAGACAUUUUGGAGGCGCAUUAUCAGAUUCCCUGAUUGACUUCACAGGCCAAAAUCAAUUCUAAAUGAUAUUUAGUCUCAAAAAUGUAGAGUAAGAAAGUUUAAAUGCUAUAAAUAAUUUUUGUGUGAUCUUAGGCUGAGAGAGACCUUCCUAAGUAUGUCUCCAAAAUCAGAAAUCAGAAAUUUUUCUGGAUUUUACUAUUAAACUUUGCUACAUAAAAAAGCAUGAUCUAGUGGUUAGGACUUGGUGCUCUCACCACUGCAACCUGGGUUCAAUCCCUGAUCUGGGAACUGAGAUGCUACAUGAAGGUGCUGCACAUUGCAGCCAGAAAAAAAAGACAUAAUAAUAAAAAAAGCAUACAUGUAACAUAAGAGAAAAAAACUCAUAUUCUUAAUAAUAAAGAAUGACUUUUCAUAAAUAAGGAAAAUAAAUAUCAUACUAUAGGAGCAAAAUGGAAAAAGACUUCUACAUCCAUCAGCAUGACAUGCUAAAUAUUUCAGGAACAAUUUCCAUGUUAAAACUUUUUUAAAAACUAAAAAUGUUGUAAAAAUAACAAAUAUCUGUUCAU